rnacentral:rRNA from 1 species
UACGAAGGGUGCAAACGUUGCUCGGAAUGACUGGGCGUAAAGGGCGCGUAGGCGGUUUGUACAGUCAGGUGUGAAAUCCCCGGGCUUAACCUGGGAACUGCAUUUGUGACUGGCGGGCUAGAGUAUGGCAGAGGGGGGUAGAAUUCUCGGUGUAGAGGUGAAAUUCGUAGAUAUCGAGAGGAAUACCUGUGGCGAAGGCGGCCAACUGGACGAGUACUGACACUGAGACACGAAAGCGUGGGGAGCAAACAGG